rnacentral:lncRNA from 1 species
GCUUCUGAUACAGAAAAAGGAACUAAGACCCCUCCCUAUCACCCUGUGUUCCUUACCCCUCCAACCCCCAACUAGAUUCCAAUAGGAGAGCCCACAGGCUCUUCUCUCAAGGUCCCCAAACCUCCCACCCUCAGAGGCUGUGGCCAGAGUACCUAAUGCUCACUGUGCUCAGCAGGUCCUGACCACGACCCUGACUCAGAGCUGAGGGCCUCCUUCCUGCCACUAGAGGCCCCACACGGCCAUUAGGCCGUACCCACAGGAAGAGGCUGGAGCGGAAAGUGGGAAGCGAACCUCGAAGGAAGAGCAGCCAGGCCCGGGGCACUGUCACUUGCCGUCCCCUCUGCAGCUCCAGACAUUUUCAGCAUUGUCCUGCAGCCAGCGACGAAAAUAGAGGAUCUCACAGUUGCAUAACCAGGGGUUCCCGUGGAGAAAAGCAAAAGGCAGGAGGUGGGACCCAAAAAAGCCCUUUGGUAUUGUAUACAGCGAGUUCUCUUGGAGGAGAAGGGUGUCGAGAUUCUCCAGCCCAUUCAGGAGCCCAGCGGGGAGCUCAGUCAAGUUGUUGUUAGCCAGACUGAGCUUCUCCAGCUUGGGUGUGGGCGUCAGGAGCCCUGGGGGCAGGGUCUUCAGCUCAUUGCCUUUCAGGUAGAGCUCUUGGAGUUCGCCAAGACCACGCAGGGCACCAAGAGGCAGCGAGGUCAGCCGGUUGAAGGAGACGUCCAGGACGGUGAGAGCAGGCAGUGUCUGCCCUAGCAAGGGCAGGCUUUGCAGCUGAUUGUGGGAUAGAUCCAGGGUCCCCAGCACUGGCAGCGUCCCAUCGACCUGGAGCUUGGUGAGCUCGCACCUAUCUAGGUUCAGCUGAGUGAGGCGAGUGUAAGGCAUCAGGGUUGCCAGGGAGAAGGUGUACAGGAGGUUCUCACUCAGGUGGAGGAUGGUUGUGUCUUUCGGCAGGUCUGGAGGCAGCGCUGUCAGAUUCCUCUUGUCACAGUUCACUUCUAGGUGGCUGGCCACUUUGGAGACCUCACAGAUGGGGUGGGGGUGUAAGGGGCUUGGCAGCAGGAGCAGCAAGAGGAGGAGAGGCAUGAGGACCUGUGGGCAAGGGAGCCUUGAGUGGAUCCCCCUGCAUCCCCUG